rnacentral:sRNA from 1 species
CGAAAUACUUUUUAUUAAUUUAGUCUAAUACCAAAAAAAUCAAAACCUUUAACAAUGGAUCUCUUGGUUCUCGGAUCGAUGAAGAACGCACCACAGCGCGAUAGAUAAUGUGAAUUGCAGACGUGAAUCAUUGAGUUUUUGAACGCACAUUGCACCUCUUUGGAGGUAUACUUGUGUGAGCGUCAUUUUUUCUCCACAUAUAUAUUAGUGGGUAAUGGUUCACUAUAUGGACUGAAAAAGAUUAUACACAGUUGUUAGACACAAGCUGUGGAAAAUUAUCAAAUUUUGACCUCAUAUCAAGUAAGAUCACCCGCUGAACUUAAGCAUAUCAAUAAGCGGAGGAAAAGAAACCAACAGGGAUUCCCUUAGUAACGGCGAGUGAACCGGGAAAAGCUCAAAUUUGAAAUCUGCCAACAGGCCGAGUUGUAAUUUGUAGAUGGCUACACUGCAUAAUAGUAGAUGCUCAAGUUCUUUGGAAAAAGACAUCAUGGAGGGUGACAAUCCCGUGAGGCAUGUUACUAGGAGCAUAUAGUGGGCUUUCUAAGAGUCGAGUUGUUUGGGAAUGCAGCUCAAAGUGCGUGGUGAAUACCAUGUAAAGCUAAAUAUGGACGAGAGACCGAUAGCGAACAAGUACUGUGAAGGAAAGAUGAAAAGCACUCCGAAAGGAGAGUGAAAUAGUACGUGAAAUUGUUAAAGUGGAAGGGCUUGAGAUCAGAAUUGGUAGUUUGGGUUCCACGUCCUCUUGGGGGCGUGUACUCCCUUUCCACCGGGCCAGCGGGAGUUUCGUCUCUUGGGUAAAAGCAGUGGAAUGUAGCAGCUUGUCUGUAUAAUAGCCUCUGUUCAUA